rfam:Schistosoma haematobium C9740250_1, whole genome shotgun sequence.
AUCCGGCUGACGAAUCCCAAAUAAGACGAAACGUGUGUCAUAAUGGAU